CACUGACAUUAGAUACCCGUGUAGUCCCAGCCGUAAACUAUGCGCGUUAGGUGUAUCGGUGACCACGAGUUACCGAGGUGCCGAAGGGAAACCGUGAAACGUGCCGCCUGGGAAGUACGGUCGCAAGGCUGAAACUUAAGGAAUUGCGGGGAGCACCACAACAGGUGGAGCCUGCGGUUUAAUUGGACUCAACGCCGGGAAGCUCACCGGAUAGGACAGCAGAAUGAUUGCCGGGCUGAAGACCCUGCAUGACUAGCUG
rnacentral:rRNA from 1 species